AGAGUUUGAUCCUGGCUCAGGACGAACGCUGGCGGCAUGCCUAAUACAUGCAAGUCGAGCGGAAUGACGAGAGCUUGCUCUCUGAUUUUAGCGGCGGACGGGUGAGUAACACGUGGGCAACCUGCCCUACAGAUGGGGAUAACUCCGGGAAACCGGGGCUAAUACCGAAUAAUCAGUUUGUCCGCAUGGACAAACUCUGAAAGACGGUUUCGGCUGUCACUGUAGGAUGGGCCCGCGGCGCAUUAGCUAGUUGGUGGGGUAAUGGCCUACCAAGGCAACGAUGCGUAGCCGACCUGAGAGGGUGAUCGGCCACACUGGGACUGAGACACGGCCCAGACUCCUACGGGAGGCAGCAGUAGGGAAUCUUCCACAAUGGACGAAAGUCUGAUGGAGCAAUGCCGCGUGAGCGAAGAAGGUUUUCGGAUCGUAAAGCUCUGUUGUAAGGGAAGAACACGUACGGGAGUAACUGCCCGUGCCAUGACGGUACCUUAUUAGAAAGCCACGGCUAACUACGUGCCAGCAGCCGCGGUAAUAC
rnacentral:rRNA from 1 species